UUACAGGGGUGGUAUAGUACGUCAUCAACAGGUGCGCGCAACACUUCCCGAUGCGGCUUUUUUGUGUCAAAACAUCUCGAUUCGGUACAUGAAAGAUGAAAAAGGAAACAAAACUUCUAGUCUGCAUCAAUGGAAUUGUCAAUAUAUGUUAAAAAGGAUUGCUGAGUGAUCGGCAUGCAAGACAUUAUUGACAUAUUAUAUUUUCCAAAAGCUGUACGACAUAAUAUUUGAGAAGUGGAGAACAUCCUCUAACGGAAUUACCCCAGACAAGGAUUUCAACGCUCAACUAGGUCUCCGUACCAAACUUUGUCACGACUAUGUCGGUUGCUGUUUGAAGAGCCACGUGAUCAUCACAAUUGCUCGGGAAAAAAUGAGAAAUUACUGUAUCGCGCCAACGAAAUGUUCUUAUUAAGGAGUUUUAGAUGUGCGCAGAAAAAGACCAAGAGUGACUACAACCGAAUUAUAAUUACCAUUUAGUAGAAUGGGACAUUGUAUCUACUGACUAGAAAGCGGUUGAGGAUUUAACAUUUUACUAAUGUUCAGAUUUUGCUU